AUACUUACCUGGCAGGGGACAUACCACGAUCACGAAGGUGGUUUUCCCAUGGCGAGGCUUAUCCAUUGCACUCCGUGCACUUUGCGCCAUGUGCACUUAACCUACUGCCUGGC
rnacentral:snRNA from 12 species